GCAGAAUAUUUAUUGACAUAGGAAAACUAUUCACCAUACAUUUAAAAUUGGAAUAAAUAGCUUAACAAAUGGUAUAUUAUUUCACAUACAUAAAAUAUCUACACACGUGGUAUGUUGGUAAAUGUUUAACCAAUGGCUUACCCGGAGAGAAAAAAAUUGCAUUUGUAAAUAUUCUUACCAUGGACAAUUUCAAGCUACUAAUGUAAAGUCUGGGAAGCUACUAGAUGUGGAAAGAGAUACACAUAAUUUGUUCUGGCAAGCCAUUGUGAGCUGGCCCCAGCACCCACAGAUACACACUAAAUGAAAGUGCAAGUCCUCUCUGAAUGGUGGUAUAAUAGCUCACUUAGUUUGAAUUAUCUAAAAAGUAAUUGUUAAGAUUAGUUUAAACGUACAAGAAGUUCAUGGGGGGAGGUCUGUGAAGGAUGAAAGGGGAGAUAGCUGGAGAAGUCAAGAAGAGUCUUCAAGACCAUGAGGCAGUCUACGCCUGUGAAAGAAGAGAAGGAAGAAAGAAUCAGGUGCGGAAACAGAGGCACAAAGAAAUAACCUUCAUUUCAGGAAGAACAACCAGUGGACUGUUUUUAGUGCCAGAGUCAAGACGACGUCUUCUGAUUCCACCUGAUACUUAUUCCAUAUACAAAUAGCAAGAACAAUGUCUUAAUACUUUUGAUUCUCUUACCCAGCAAAGGGUCCUUAGUAGACGUGAGCAAGAACAUGUCUAUUUCAAUAAACAAACAAGUAAACAAAUAAAAUCUAUCAUGUUAUGAAACAAUAAAAGAGCUUGGUGGAUAUAGAAUGGGGAAAAGAGAAUUAGUUUUGAGUCAAAAUAUCUGGAUAUGAGUCUUUGUUAUGCAGUUAAAUCAUUCACCAAAUAUCAUUGAGAGCUCGAUUCUGUCAGGCUCUCUGACACAUAAAAAAAAAAAAAUAGAGAACUAUGGGCCAGGCACCGUGGCUCACGCCUGUAAUCCUAGCACUUUAGGAGGCUGAGGCAGGUGGAUUACCUGAGAUCAGGAGUUCAAGACCAGCCUGGCCAACAUAGUGAAACCCCAUCUCUACUAAAAAUACAAAAAAUCAGCCAGGUGCAGUGGCGCACGCCUGUAAUCCCAGCUACUCAGGAGGCUGAGGAAGGAGAAUCGCUUGAACCUGGGAGGCGGAGGUUGCCGUGAGCCGAGAUCAGGCCACUGCACUCCAGCCUGGGCAACUGAAGGAGGCUUUGUCUCAAAAAUAAAUAAAUAAAUAAAUAAAUAAAUAAAUAAAUAAAUAAAUAAAUAAAAAUAAAUAGAGAACUAUGAAUAUUUGGGGUUUUAAUUGUCAUUGCUGUUGUUUUAUAAAAGUUACUUUCUUUGAUGCCAGGUUAGUUCAGAGUGCUUAUCAAUCUCCUUUCUCAAUUCAUUUUAAGUGAGAAAAAAUCCUGACCAUUUUGAAUUAACAUAUUCUAUUGUCUUCUGAUAACUAAUAGUUAUUCAACGUAAUGAAAAGAGCUGCUUUUGUUUCAUAAUAUCAAUUGUGUGAAACUUAGUAAAAAAUAUUCUCUUCCUAUUUUUCAUGAAAGAUAGUUCCAGUAAUUGUUUCUAGAUCUUUAAUUGGUUUGGAAGAGAUAAGUAAAAUUAACCUUUCAAUACUUUGUAGAAAGUAGGACUCCAGAAGUUUAGAUUUCUACUAAUUAUAAAACAACUGCAACUCUGCUACUCCACAAACACAUCAAUAACAAGUUUUUAAUACCAAUUCACUGUAUCUCUGUUUUGGGAAAUUAUAUUUAAAAAUAAAGAAAACCUAUUUAAAG
rnacentral:lncRNA from 1 species